GACGAACGCUGGCGGCGUGCUUAACACAUGCAAGUCGAACGGAAAGGCCCUGCUUUUGUGGCGUGCUCGAGUGGCGAACGGGUGAGUAACACGUGAGUAACCUGCCCCUUACUUUGGGAUAACUUCCGGAAACUGGGGCUAAUACCGGAUAGGACCUCCUGCUGCAGGUUGGGGGUUGGAAAGUUUCCGCGGUUGGGGAUGGACUCGCGGGUUAACAGCCUGUUGGUUGGGUAGUGGCUUACCAAGGCAUUGACGGGUAGCCGGCAUGAGAGGGUGACCGGACACAUUAGGCCUGAGAGACGGCCGAGACGGUUACGGGAGGCAACAGUGGGGAAAAGUGCACAAUAGGGGCAAGCCUGAUACAGCAACGCCGCGAACGGGAUGACGGCCUUCCGGUAGUAAACCGCUUUCGCCUGUGACGAGGCGUAAGUGACGGUAAGGAGUGAAGAAGCACCGGCUAACUACGUG
rnacentral:rRNA from 1 species